UCUUUUUCCCUUACAUUCAUUGGGUCCAAAUUAGCAUUACUCGGGAUGGGGUACUCUGGCCUGAGUUUGCUGUGAGUUAACCCAGUUGCAUGCCCCCUUGUUUAUACCCUAUAGUGGAUCAUUUAGGGUGUUUGUAUCUAGAGGUUUUAAGCCCAUUCCUUUGUGUUUUGUAGCAAUCCUCUCAUUUAUACGUGAACCCCUUUUUGCUUUCGGGACGAGGUCUCAUGACAAGUGAAGGUCCGUUCGGCAUCCCUCCGGGGGUCGAGUUUGUUGACUUGUCUUUAGACUCAGAGUCCCCUGAGGAAAACCCUUACCAAGACUAUGACUCCUUAAGGCAGGCCCGUAUCCGUCAUCUUGAGAACAUGGCUGAACUUAGGUGUAAAAUUUGGGUGGUGGAGAGUGAAAUCGACUCGGUGUUGAGAGGAGACGGAGCAUCUUUCCCCCUGACCUUAGUGAUCAUGUAGCGAGCCUUAGGGUGACUCUUUUAGAUUUGUAGGGGGAGUUGGAGUUUAUGGAGGGACAUCUUCCGCCUGAGCCUUCUAGCCCACCCUCGCCUGAUGACUGUCAUGGGGCCGCUUCUGCUUCUCUUCAGCCUUUAUUUUUGAUCUUCCCUAGCUUAGCGCUUCCGCAGCCGGUGCCCCGGUGGAAGACUCUUGCUAGGAAGAGAAAAUGGAUGGUCAAGUGUUCUAUCUCUUCCUCACCUUUUUCUUUUGGUUUUGUAGAUAUGCUGAGGGGACGAUGACAGGUAUCCACCAAUGAACAGGACGAUGCCCUUUUAUUGGCAUCCACCCUGGUGUCCCACGUGUCAGAAAAUAAACUGAGGGAAAUUGUGAAGCACUACCGUGUUCCUCUGGAGUACGCCUUAUACACCCCUUCAGACACUUGCCGGGUUGACUACCCUAGUCCCGGCUUCGUGGCCCUUAGUGAGCACAUCCUGAAGGUGGGUGGUACCAUCCCGUUACACCCGUUCUUCGUUGCGGUCCUCAACUACUUUGACCUUGCUCCACUUCAGCUGGCGCCCAACAGUUGGCUGACCUUGAGCUGCCUUUUUAUUGCGUUUGCGGAACUUUCAAACGUGCUCCUACGGCGCUAGAGGUGCAUUUCCUGUACAAUCUCAUGCCCUCUCCCAAGUCCAAGGGCUUCUAUUACCUGAAAAAAGCCAAUAACGAGGUCCCUUUGAUAGAGGGCUCAGUGUCCAACCAGGGGUCCUGAAAGCAGGAAUUUUUCUUCGUGAAAGGCCCUCUCUCUGUUCACGAGUACUUCCGUGCCGCUCCCAAGCAAUUUGCCGCACCCGAGGUUGUUGGGUCGGAAGCGGACGCUGUGAAUAAUCUUAUCAACGCUGACCUCGCUAUGAAAAAGGUUGCGUACCUAUUCACUGUGGAAAAUCUGAACCUCCACAAGCUGUCCCCGAUUUUAGAUCCCAGGUUGCUGUGGACCGUCCCUCGGUCAAAGAAGAUGAAGGCGGCAUCGGCUGAGCCUUGCCCGAAUGAAGGUGAGGCUGAGGAUGUGCCGGAGGAAGCCUCCCUUGAAUGCGAGGAACCUCACCAGCUGUCCUCAUCUCCUGGGGGAUGCCCUCCCUUUGUCUCUUUUGACUCGGACAUAGCCUCCCAAUCCCAAGGCCAACAUGCCAUUCCGGGUCAUUUUGUUUGCCCCGACCCCGAGGACUAUGACGCUUUCCUUCAGGCUCCCCUCGACCCUGGUCCAUCGGGGGCUUGCUUUGCCAAUCUUCCUACACCCCCUUCUGAUCUACCGGGGCCUCAAUUUUCCUGCGCCCCCUCUAGUUUCGGCGAGUGGGUCGUCUGUCCUUACCCAGCCAGGUGGACCUGGCCUGGAUGGGGCGCCCUGGGUGAAUCGCAUGGCGACCUUUUACGGGCGGUGGUACGUCCAAAUUGCCUCAGACCUCCCCGAAUCUGACUGGAAUGGUCUUGGGAGUUUUUCCCUAUCAGACCUUAGGGAAACUCUAAGGCACACUACUGCUUGGGCCUAUACUGUGGCUCAGCGGUUUGCCGACUCGGCUCACAAUCUUUCUGCGUCGAGUACCGAGAGGGACCGCUUUACGGCCCGGGUCCAGGAGCUCAAGAGAGAGCUUGGCCAAACCAAGUCUAAGCUAAAAAGGGUUCGGGCCAAAUUUUCUGUCUCAUCAAAAAGGAAGUAGAAGGCGGUUGCCAAAGCCACGAUGCUGCAGGAAAAAGUCACCAGCCUAGAGGGCGAACUUCAGGGUGCCAAGGCUAUUGCGACUGCAUCGCAGGAGAGAGUCGCUUCCUUAGAGGCCGAACUCGAGGUUGCUAGGGCCGAUGUAGCCGUGUCGCAGGAGAGAGUCGCUUCCUUAAAGGCGGAUAGGACAGCUAUUGAGUACAGGUCCAUAGAGCGUGCCCUUUACGGUGUGUGGAGGCAGGAUCCCAACUUUGAUUUUUCUUCUUUUGGCGAGCACACCGUUGCUCGAGCGGCUGGGUGGAGCACCCGCGGGAGGAGGCCCUGAGGUUGUUAUUUCAUAGCUUCUGUCAGCUAGCCCGCUGUGGGUGUAUGCUCAUUUGAGCCUUUGUAAUAUUAUUAUGAUUAUUACUUUUUUUUUUUGUAAAUCUUGCCAUGUUACCAAGAAUCCUUUUUUAAUAUAUACAUGUGUGGUUA